rnacentral:lncRNA from 1 species
GCCAGGAGCCUUCAUUAGGACCCGGGCCUCUCACUUCUUCCUCCCAGUUCCUUCCUUCACGGCUUUUUGACCUUGGCCUUCAUGCUGAUGGAGCUUUCAACAGCUGGGCUUCCCAAGAGGGAUCAGAACACUCAGAUACCUUGCCAGUACCUUCACAGCAUCCAAAGAAAUUAAAAUGGCCUCCACAUGCUGGAUACCCUGCUAGCUACACCCUCAGCCUGGAUGCCCCCAACAGUGGUAACCAAGACAUGUCAGCCUGGUUCAAUCUAUUUGCAGACCUGGGGCCACUCUCAAACCCAGAUGCCAUUGGACACUCAGAUGACGAGCUUCUGAAUGCCUGACUGAUGUCAUGGUGACUGACAUCACAGCUUCAGGGGUCUUGAGGAACCAACUGUGCAACAUUUGCCUUUCUGAAGAGAAGUUCCCACUGCGACCACACACAGAAGCAUGUGUUCAGGAUAGAACGUCUACCAGCCAACUCUAGUCACAGGAUUGGAGCACCUGAGCAGGCUGUGGUACUUCAUAUGCUGGGUGGGCAGGCUGUUGAUAGUACAUGGAUAAUUUUACAAACUCCGCAAUACUGAGAAACCAAACUUACGGCUGAAUCACAGAAGCAUGGUGUGUUUCUUUGGAAGGUGUUUUACACUUGUUACUUUGCUUUAAGGGGAUAAAGAAUAGGAUAGAGUGGCUAUAGUUUGGGGGGUUUUCUUGAUAGUGUCAGGUGUUUUCUGUUGUGGGGACCAGCACUAGAACUAUAAAAAGCUUUCUCACCAAUUACAAUGUAGAACAAGAUUAGAGAACUGUCUGCUUUACUGAAAUUAAGAGAAACGUGGGUUUGCUUUUCUGUACCUGGUAACUAAAUGCAAUGUUACCGUUCAUUCAUAUGCAAUCAUGGAUACAUUAGUUCCAUUAUUAAAUUUUCAUGGGGAAGACAGCAGGAUGCAAAAGCCAUCAUCUGUAGAAAUGGGAAAAGGAAUCUACAGGUCUGUUUCACUGACUCUUGCAGUGCUACUUUCUCUACAGAACAGUGAGGACAAGCAUUGCAUGUCUGGGCAGCAAUCUUGCUGAAACUUCCAGAAACUUCUAUGUGAACAUGCAAGACACUUUCAAAUGCCAUCAUAAUAGUUGUAUUUUCUCAACACACACUUGAGCCCAGAAGGAUUUCUGAUAGACAUGGAGGAUUCUACAGAAAGCUAAGGAGCAUCCCAUGUUCUUCCUUUCAGUCUAACUCCCACAGUGCCAUUAGAGAGUACUAAGCAAAAGCUAUUGGCAGAGGACAUAGAGUCUAGGGUUUGAAGGGAAGGCUAUUCAGUGGCAGUUGGGCAAACUGGCGAAAUCAUAACUGCUGGAUUGCUACUCCUUCAGCUUCCUGUCCUUUCUUGUCCACCCUUUAAUUUAAGGGUAGUUCUCCAAGUGUUCUGUCAUCAAGUCCAUUGUGGCCAGUGUCCCACAGGGACAUCUUAAGUUGUUUAUUGUGGUUUUUAUGGGCUUCUAGUCAUUAGCAGGUUGAUUCAAGUUCAAAUUACAUAUAAUGUCCAAGUCAUGGUAUAUAGGGAGCUAUUUUUAAGAAAAAAAC